rnacentral:rRNA from 1 species
ACCAAAUAGAUACCCCGGUAGUCCACGCCCUAAACGAUGCGAACUGGAUGUUGGGUACAUUACGGUACUCAGUGUCGAAAGCUAAACGCGUUAAGUUCGCCGCCUGGGGAGUACGGUCGCAAGACUGAAACUCAAAGGAAUUGACGGGGGCCCGGCACAAGCGGUGGAGUAUGUGGUUUAAUUCGAUGCAACGCGAAGAACCUUACCUGGCCUUGACAUCUGUCGAAUCCUGCAGAGAUGCGGGAGUGCCGCAAGGAACGACAAGACAGGUGCUGCAUGGCUGUCGUCAGCUCGUGUCGUGAGAUGUUGGGUUAAGUCCCGCAACGAGCGCAACCCUUGUCCCUAGUUGCCAGCACGUAAUGGUGGGAACUCUAGGGAGACUGCCGGUGACAAACCGGAGGAAGGUGGGGAUGACGUCAAGUCCUCAUGGCCCUUAC